rnacentral:rRNA from 1 species
CAGCCGCCACGGGAACACGUAGGGUGCAAGCGUUAAUCGGAAUUACUGGGCGUAAAGCGUGCGCAGGCGGUUAUAUAAGACAGAUGUGAAAUCCCCGGGCUCAACCUGGGAACUGCAUUUGUGACUGUAUAGCUAGAGUACGGCAGAGGGGGAUGGAAUUCCGCGUGUAGCAGUGAAAUGCGUAGAUAUGCGGAGGAACACCGAUGGCGAAGGCAAUCCCCUGGGCCUGUACUGACGCUCAUGCACGAAAGCGUGGGGAGCAAACAGGAUUAGAUACCCCGGUAGUCCCUGUCUCUUAUAC